UCAGAGUCACCAAUAAAGGUUGUGCUUUGUGUUGACUACCACUGUACAACAUACUGUACACGUCACUGUCCUGAAGCACGAAUAUCAUUUAAAUUUCAACUGACAGUUGGGCCGUCUGAAGUGGAUCUGCUGCAAUUCAUCGAGAGAAUAUCCUUAUGUUUUUCAGGCAAGAUUGGAAAACAAAAGAUAAGUGUGCACAAUUCUGCUGGAUUUGAGAAUAAUAGCAGGAUUUUGUGAUGCCAGUGGACAACAUAGCAGCUAUACAUGCAGAUAGUACACAUUCAGUCAUGCCACAACAUUUCGAAGACUGAAAGCCAGCUACUAGCCAUCUAACAGCUGGACUGGGCAGCCAUACAGUUAAAGCAAACAUUCAAAAAUGUCAAUGUAUUAACACAAUAUUAAUAUAAGGGAAAUAUUAUUUUUAUAUUUCUACAACACACCAAACUGUGAUGUCCAGAGUGAAGGAUGCAGAGUUAUGGCACAUUUAAAGGAUCAACAUUGACAUUCAGUAGCAAUGGAAGCAGGCCAGAUAUUGGAAGACAAAAUUAUAAGUAAUCUGUCCAGUCAUCUCAAGGCUGUCUGAGCUGCCAGUAAGUAGAGCGAGACAAUAAGUUUAGUAUUUUAGGUUUAAGGUUAAGUAUUUUUUACUCUCCAAAGUUGACACGUGUUGAUUAUAAUUGAAUAUUUUACUGUAUAUGUCAAUUUUAAAGAACAAUGUAAAAUAUUACCAAUAUUAAAAUUGUAUUGCAUAAUUUGCCAUUUUAUUUUGAGGCUUUAUGUGUUAUAAAUAAUGGAAAUACUGGGUAAUCAAGAUUAAUGAGUUGCUAUGGCAUCAGGAAUAACCAAAUGUAGCUGGAACGUCAUCACGCAGUUGCUGAAAGUUGUGCAACAACGUUGUCACAGCCUUCUUGUGCCUUACAUUUCUACAUUGUCACAACGUGGAGAAUACAUCGCGAAUAACGUUGCAAAGUAAAAAUAGAACAUGGCAGCAAUGUCGCCACAACAUAAAUGUGUUUGCUGGGAAGUAAUAUUAAAUGCAAUAUAGGUAUCAUAUGUUUUUGUGUUAUGCUUUUAUUUGUAAAAUGGGAGUAUUUUAUUUCCCUUUACAAUUUAGUCAUGCCUAGUUUUCGCUUGCCACAUUCAUUCUGACUUAAACCACUGAAAAUGGCAUAUACACUCAAAAUAACCUGGGUUAUUAUUAUGAAUAUUUAUUAAAAGCAUCCUUUUUGUAUUCAAUUUUUAAUUCAUCAUCAAUGUAUGUUUUACAUUCAGUAAUGAUGUGACUAGUCUUAAUGCAUUUCAUUCUGAUUCAUUUGACUAGCUACUAAAUGGCCGUUUAGGGACAUGUGUUAAAUUCAUUAACCAUGAAACUGUUAAAAUCAUGAGUGUAUGUGAAUGUAGUACACAUGAACAUCUAGUUCACAAGAACGUAAAUUCUUCUUAAGGAGAUAUAACAGUAUCAUUUAAUCAGAUUCCUCCAGCAGGCAGUGAAAAAGCAACGCAGAUUCAUGAGCCAGCUGAGAUUUUGAAUUAAGAUGUAAUUAUGUAGAUAAGAUGGUAGUGAUAAUGAUAAUGGAAGAUGAUAAUAGAACUGUGUCAUUUCAAUUAAGAAACAAUAUUACAAAAUUCAGCUUCAACAUUGUAGUAUAUUUUACGAAACUAGAGUUACACUGGAGUUAAAAAUAAGAAAAUAAGAAGAACAGCAAAAACAAAAUCAAUCUCCCCCCCCAAGUUUCAUUAAGGUAAAAGAUGGUGUUUUGCAUACACAUGUUUUCAUGCAUUUGUCAAGCCAGUGGAAGUGUUUACAGCAAUGCUUGGUGAACUCAGCCUAAAGGAGGUAAGUAAAAGGUUUAAGAUGAGAGAAAAACACAAACAUUGAUUAAUAGAUGAUUUAUUAACUGGUUUGUCAUUACUUUGUAGAUAAAAUGAUAGUGUGUGAGUUUGUUGCCUUACCACAUCUCACAGGAAAUUAGCGUGUUAAUUUUUUUUUUUUUUUUUUUUUUUUUCUGAAAUUCUGUUUCCAAAUUCGGACCCGAUGUGUGAAGUCCAGACAAGUGGCACCAUGUAGCGAAUGUUCAUGUCCUGAAAAAUAAAUUAUGCUGUGACGUCACAUCGCUUUUGAUCUUCGGCUAGGAGAUACUACAUUUGCACAGAAGUAAGUGAAAUAAUGCUGUUGUUAUCUUAGUAUUUUUAUGGUUAUGGUUAGGUGUGCAUAUGCAUGACUUUAGUUCCAGCUCCGUACACUGGGGAAGGACAUUCAGAAAGCAUAGACCGGUUUUAGCAGACAAAACAAUCAACCUUCCAUUGAUGAUUUUCCUGUGAGCUACUAGACAUCUGCUACCAAACCCAAGCUUGAUGGGACCUGACAAGCUGGUCAGGUACAGUGUUUUGCAAAGGACCGCCACGGGACACUGUGACAAGUUAAAAAGAACUUAAACGAUUUGACGUUCUGAAGAAGUUCAGACAGCAAUUCAAUUUCAGACUUUUGGUUGACCUGCUUUUCUAAUUGUCCUCCUGAGAGGAAGACCCCAUCUCACCCCUUCAGUUUCAGAAGAGAUCUAAAAAAAUGCCUCAAAGUGUGCUCAGGAUGUCCAUGUCUGCAAUAAAAAGUCAGAAAUUUAAAUAUGAACUUAAACAUUUCAAAACUUCCAACAACAAAUUAUCAGAGAAAUUUGAGGAGAACUGUUAUGGGACAAAUAAACACAUUAUACAGCAAGCAGUGUUCUGCACACAUUCCCUGUAUGGGCCACCUGUGUCCUUGAAUUGGACAAGCCUGGGCAGACAGAAGGGAGCAUGAAACUGAUACGAACUUGAAACAUUUGUGUUGUGGCUCCAGAGUUGUCCUUCAGUUAAUAAUCCUAUGCUUGUUUCUCAUAAAGUACAAAGCAACUGUUAUUUUUGAUUCUGCUAUUAUGCUUUUCACAUAUUUCUGCUAUGCUGUCAUCUGUAAGUUUCUAGAAUGUUCUUUGUUAGAUUUGCUUCUCUUCUGCAGGUGCCUCAGGGCUAUAAAGUCUGUGUUCGCAACCACUAAGUUGUCUUUGACAUAGACCCUACUGUGCUGUAUGCAUCUCCAUAAAACUCAA